UACGGGGGGGAGCAAGCGUUUGUUCGGAUUUACUGGGCGUAAAGCGCGCGCAGGCGGCCUCUUAAGUCUGAUGUGAAAGCCCCCCGGCUCAACCGGGGGAGGGCCAUUGGAAACUGGGAGGCUUGAGUAUAGGAGAGAAGAGUGGAAUUCCACGUGUAGCGGUGAAAUGACGUAGAGAUGUGGAGGAACACCAGUGGCGAAGGCGACUCUUUGGCCUAUAACUGACGCUGAGGCGCGAAAGCGUGGGGAGCAAACAGG
rnacentral:rRNA from 1 species